rnacentral:tRNA from 1 species
GAGGUUGUGGCUCAGAGGUAGAGUGCUCGCCUACCACAUGCGAGGCACUGGGUUCGAUACUCAGCACCACA